rnacentral:rRNA from 1 species
UACGUAGGGGGCUAGCGUUGUCCGGAAUCAUUGGGCGUAAAGAGCGUGUAGGCGGCUUGGUAAGUCCGCUGUGAAAGUCCAGGGCUCAACCCUGGAAAGCCAGUGGAAACUGUCAAGCUAGAGUCCGGAAGAGGCGAGUGGAACUCCUGGUGUAGCGGUGAAAUGCGCAGAUAUCAGGAGGAACACCGGUGGCGAAGGCGGGUCUCUGGGCCGAUAUUGACGCUGAGGAGCGAAAGCGUGGGGAGCGAACAGG